rnacentral:pre_miRNA from 1 species
GAUUUCAAUUGAAAAAGUCAUCAACAACAAAGUUGAAUAACUCAUCAAGAUCUAAAACUUUUAUUUUUGUUAUUUCUUUAUCCGACGAAAUAUUAGUAAUAUUAUUCAUAAAUUUUACAUAUAACACAAUAUGUGUUAUGUUUAUAAAACCAGAUAAGAGAUAUGUCAAUUUUGUGAANAAUGUUACUAUCACUUUGUCGNAUNAAGAAAUGNCCAAAAUAANAGUUUUAGAUCUUGAUGAGUUAUUCAACUUUGUUGUUGAUGAUUUUUUCAGUUGAUAUC